CAGGGUCCUAGAGUCCUUCCACCUCCUUCUCAAAGCCUAGUUAGCAAUUUCCCAGCUUUGGGAAGGAGAUGGGAGGGUUCUAGGACCCUG